rnacentral:rRNA from 1 species
CCUACGGGAGGCAGCAGUGAGGAAUAUUGGUCAAUGGACGAGAGUCUGAACCCGCCAAGUAGCGUGAAGGAUGACUGCCCUAUGGGUUUUAAACUUCUUUUAUAUGGGAAUAAAUCAGGGUAUCCAUACCCUCUUGUAUGUACCAUAUGAAUAAGGAUCGGCUAAAUCCGUGCCAGCAGCCGCGGUAAUACGGCGGGUCCGAGCGUUAUCCGGAUUUAGUGGGUUUAAAGGGAGCGUAGGUGGAUGGUUAAGUCAGUUGUGAAAGUUUGCGGCUCAACCGUAAAAUUGCAGUUGAAACUGGCAGUCUUGAGGACAGUAGAGGUGGGCGGAAUUCGUGGUGUAGCGGUGAAAUGCUUAGAUAACACGAAGAACUCCGAGUGCGAAGGCAGCUCACUGGACUGCAACUGACACUGAUGCUCGAAAGUGUGGGUAUCAAACAGGAUUAGAUACCCGGGUAGUC